UAAAUUAGCAUAAAUGAUCAGAUAAUACAUCCAAAUAUACUUGGAACAAACGCGGAUAAAUGCAAGGGAGCAGUUUGUUUAAAUAUCUUGAGGGAGGACUGGCUGCCGAUUUAC
rnacentral:rRNA from 1 species